rnacentral:rRNA from 1 species
CCUACGGGAGGCAGCAGUGGGGAAUCUUGCGCAAUGGGCGAAAGCCUGACGCAGCCAUGCCGCGUGUAUGAUGAAGGUCUUAGGAUUGUAAAAUACUUUCACCGGUGAAGAUAAUGACUGUAGCCGGAGAAGAAGCCCCGGCUAACUUCGUGCCAGCAGCCGCGGUAAUACGAAGGGGGCUAGCGUUGCUCGGAAUUACUGGGCGUAAAGGGAGCGUAGGCGGACAUUUAAGUCAGAGGUGAAAUCCCGGAGCUUAACUUCGGAACUGCCUUUGAUACUGGGUGUCUUGAGUGUGAGAGAGGUAUGUGGAACUCCGAGUGUAGAGGUGAAAUUCGUAGAUAUUCGGAAGAACACCAGUGGCGAAGGCGACAUACUGGCUCAUUACUGACGCUGAGGCUCGAAAGCGUGGGGAGCAAACAGGAUUAGAUACCCUGGUAGUCCACGCCGUAAACGAUGAUUGCUAGUUGUCGGGAAGCUUGCUUCUCGGUGACGCAGCUAACGCAUUAAGCAAUCCGCCUGGGGAGUACGGUCGCAAGNUUAAAACUCAAAGGAAUUGACGG